CUCCGACUCGGUAGGUGGCGCUGUCACAAAAAACUGCGGUCCUGAAAUUGCAUCCUCCGUUAUUGCAGAUGGAUAAUAUUGUCCUAAGCGGCUAUUCUAUUCACAGAGAAUACCUUUUUGCUUUUAAAAAACAAGACGCGCUGUUUCUACGUGUAUAAAGUCGUUAUUUUUGUUUUCUUCGCUUACAAAAAGUGUUCCCAAAGGCAGAUGGAGUAUUCUGAAGACGACUUUAAUACCUUUCCUGGACCUUGACACUGUUAUUUACUUGGCAGUCUAUGGGACAGUCACAAGCCUCCCUGUUUUCAUCCAAAAUAUCUUAAAUUGUGUUCCGAAGACGAACGGAGCUUUUACGGGUUUGGAACGACAUGCAGGAGACCAUUUUUUUCCUGUCUUCUUCAAUAAUACGGAGCUGGGCCAUGUGUGGCAUUGACGGCACGGCGUGGAUCCGGCAAACAAUAUGAGGGCCGAUUGUUGGUGGGAGGAGUGUGGCCCAGAUCAGUCCAGUGAUAUGUGGCCCAAAUCAGGCUAAGAUCUGGCAGCAUAUUAUGUGACCCAUGAUAAACAAGAUAAAUACAAUAUUGCAUGAUAAUGUUUAAAUGAUCACAUACAUUUUAAUAAGGUGUAGUAUUGUUAAAAUGUAGUCUUUGAAAUUGCAAGUCAAAACAGAAUGAAACAUUAUCAUUUCAAAAUUAAGCAAAUCAGUCAACUGCAUUAAACUGCACUUAAUUAUAAUUUUAUUACAUUUUAUAUUAUUAUUCUUGGUACAAAUAAUCUUAGAAUCCUUACAUGAAAAGAGAGAGAGAGAGAUCAUUUAACCAUUAUCAUGUAAUAUUUGGUUUACCAUGGGGCACACACUGAUCUAUAAUAGAGAGUGGGGGCAC
ensembl:lncRNA